rnacentral:lncRNA from 1 species
CCUUUAUACUGUAUCAGGUGCACAGUGUCUGUAUGUCCUUUAACAGACAGCCAUUUUAUCUUGGUCCAGUAAUCAUACUUCUGGUUCUCUGAAAGCUGGCAUCAUUGACAAUGUGCUGUUGCUGUCCUCCUGGCUCUCCUAUGGACAGAUCACCGCAGACUUCCCCAGAGAAGCGUGGGAGCAGGAGUAACUUCCUUCAAAGAAGCACUCAGAUGCAUCAAUAUUUGACUACAAAUUAGGCUUGGAUCCUGCUAAAUGCUCAUUAUUUCCGCUGAGCUGCCCAGCUUACCAAGAAGGUCGGAAGCAUUAAACCCAAUCUGGAUUUUGCACUAACAGAGUGAAAUGUGGAAUGACUCAGCACCUGAAAGAGUCAGCUGUGAUUCCAGAUAGCCGAAGUGCAAGGGCAGAGUUAUCAACUGGCUGAAAUUGAACUGGGCUAAAUCACUUUGCUCUCUCAGAGGCAUCAAACCAGCAAGGAGAGUAUAAUUCAGUGUUUCAAGCAAGUGUGUGUGAAUGGACUCUUUGUGGAAUUGUAACUUCAGAC